UCAAUGAGAAUACGUAAACUUCACAUGGUAUUCGAGCCUUCAAUCAUUCUAUAUAAGAGUCUUUUUUUUUUUUUUUUCCAUCCUCACGGCUUCGGCUUCUUCAUCCUCUUCCAUUCCUAACAUCUCUACCUUAGUCUUGGUGAAGCUUUCUGAGACGAACCAUCUCCAAUGUGAGUGUCAAGUCAAGCUGUUCCUGGUUGGUCAGAAUUACUGGCAUUUUAUUGAUGGUUCCUAUCCGUGCCCCGCCCCUCUACUCCCCGCUCAUGCUUCUGCUGCGGCUUCUCCAGAGUCUGACUCAUCAGUCGCUCUUCCAUCUCAUGUGGCCUCUUCAACGCCUAAUCUGGAAUACCUUGUAAGGUAUCAAACUGAUCAAACACUCGUCAGUAUGCUUCGAGCAACUCUUACUGAGCCCAUUCUUUCAUUGACUGUUGGGCUGUCUACUUCUCGUGAAAUUUGGGAGCACCUUCAGCAGAAUUUCUCGCAGCACUCUCUUGCCAAUGCCACUCAUUAUCGUUUUCAGUUGAUCUCACUACAAAAAGGGCCAAAAUCGAUUGCUGAGUACCUUGCCCAGGCCAAGAAUCUUGCUGAUCACUUGGCUUAGAUUGGGCAGCCUGUUGCCAAUGAAGAUUUGGUGUCGUAUGUGCUUCGUAGUUUGGGACCAGAGUACAGUGUACUUGUUGCUAUGCUCCCCAAUUUCCCUCAUUUCCCUCCGUUUAAUGAGUUGCGCUCUCGUCUUUUUUUUUUUUCAAUCACAAUUGCCCAUGACUCCGGGUACUUCUCCUGCACCACAUGCUUUUUAUUCUGUGCGCACCAAUGGUGGUGGCACAUCUAGAAACCGUGGCAAUGAGGAUCACCACCAAUGGUAAAAUGGUAAGAAUGGUGGAGCCGCUGUGAUACGAGGUUCUCGUGCCAAUUUUGGUGGUCGAAACGCACCAAAUCAAGUUUAUGGUCGCAACAACAUCAACAACAACAAUAGGGCCCCUCAUCGUGGACUUGUUGCUCCUGGUCUUCCUGGGCCAUCACCCAUUCCUUGUGGCCCUUGCUGGAUUUGUCGCCGACACGGCCAUCUCGAUGCACAAUGUCCUCAAACACUUCGUCCUGACGAUGAGUUAUCUCAUGCGUUUGCUGGUAUGCACAUUGCUCAAUCUUCUGAUGCGCCUUAGCUUCCAAACAAAGGUGCAGCCCAUCACAUGACUAAUGAUGCUCGUUCCUUGACUGGUACAACUGGGUAUGGCUCCACAAAUCAAGUUAUAGUUGGAAAUGGUGAAACUCUCCCCAUUGUGCACACUGGGCCUAUGCGAGGAGGAACUUUACCCAAUUAAACUUGGUCGUGCUUCUAGAAAUUAUACUUCAAAGGAAUCUUUUGUGUCUGUUUUUGCGUCGCCUUCCUUAUGGCAUCGUUGUCUCGGGCAUCCAUCUUGUCAAGUACUUAGUGUGUUAGCUUCUGGGCAUUUGUUAGAGUCCAAAUUUUUAGAUUCAAAUAAGGAAUUUUGUAAUAAUUGUGCAUUGGUAAAGUCUCAUCGAUUGUCGUUCAAUUUGUCUGAACACUAUUCUAAUUCUCCAUUUGAUUUAAUUCAUUCUGAUGUUUGGAUGUCUCUUGUAGCUUUUGUUUCUGGGUUUCGUUAUUAUGUUUUAUUUAUGAAUGAGUAUACACGUUUUUCA